AUUGAACGCUGGCGGCAGGCCUAACACAUGCAAGUCGAGCGGAUGAGAGGAGCUUGCUUCUCGAUUCAGCGGCGGACGGGUGAGUAAUGCCUAGGAAUCUGCCUGGUAGUGGGGGACAACGUUUCGAAAGGAACGCUAAUACCGCAUACGUCCUACGGGAGAAAGCAGGGGACCUUCGGGCCUUGCGCUAACAGAUGAGCCUCGGUCGGAUUAGCUAGUUGGUGAGGUAAUGGCUCACCAAGGCGACGAUCCGUAACUGGUCUGAGAGGAUGAUCAGCCACACUGGAACUGAGACACGGUCCAGACUCCUACGGGAGGCAGCAGUGGGGAAUAUUGGACAAUGGGCGAAAGCCUGAUCCAGCCAUGCCGCGUGUGUGAAGAAGGUCUUCGGAUUGUAAAGCACUUUAAGUUGGGAGGAAGGGUUGUAGAUUAAUACUCUGCAAUUUUGACGUUACAGACAGAAUAAGCACCGGCUAACUCUGUGCCAGCCGCCGCCGUAACAC
rnacentral:rRNA from 1 species